rnacentral:rRNA from 1 species
GACGAACGCUGGCGGCGUGUUUAACACAUGCAAGUCGAACGGAAAGGCCUCUUUCGGGGGGUACUCGAGUGGCGAACGGGUGAGUAACACGUGAGUAACCUGCCCUUGACUUUGGGAUAACUUCAGGAAACUGGGGCUAAUACCGGAUAGGAGCUCCUGCUGCAUGGUGGGGGUUGGAAAGUUUCGGCGGUUGGGGAUGGACUCGCGGCUUAUCAGCUUGUUGGUGGGGUAGUGGCUUACCAAGGCUUUGACGGGUAGCCGGCCUGAGAGGGUGACCGGCCACAUUGGGACUGAGAGACGGCCCAGACUCCGACGGGAGGCAGCAGUGGGGAAGAUUGCACAAGGGGUGGAAGCCUGAUGCAGCAACGCCGUGUGCGGGAUGACGGCCUUCGGGUUGUAAACCGCUUUCGCUCAUGACGAAGCUUUGUGUGACGGUAGUGGGUAAAGAAGCACCGGCUAACUACGUG